GGAUUAGAUACCCUGGUAGUCCACGCCGUAAACGAUGGAUACUAGUUGUUGGAUUUUCGGAUUCAGUGACUAAGCGAAAGUGAUAAGUAUCCCACCUGGGGAGUACGGUCGCAAGAUUGAAACUCAAAGGAAUUGACGGGGGCCCGCACAAGCGGUGGAGCAUGUGGUUUAAUUCGAUGAUACGCGAGGAACCUUACCAGGGCUUAAAUGUAAGUUGCAUAGAGUAGAGAUAUUCUUUUCUUCGGACUACUUACAAGGUGCUGCAUGGUUGUCGUCAGCUCGUGCCG
rnacentral:rRNA from 1 species